rnacentral:pre_miRNA from 13 species
CCGUGCUGCAUUGCUGGUGCAUUGCACGUGUGCGCAGCAGGUGCAGUGCCUCGGCAGUGCAGCCCGG